GAAGUAGCUCCUGAAACCGGAGCGUCCACUGAGCGGCGCCGCAGCCCGCAACUUCCACACACAGCCAGACGGCGUUUCCUCCCUGCAACACGCUGCAGGCCAAUCCGCUCACUCACUCCGUGUUGGGUUACAAUGACAAGGGCCCUGUCUGAACCACGACUUUUAGAAAGAUAAUAUUACAGGCCCACCGCUGAUCCAUCUCCCAGUACACAAUUGAGACUGAGGAGGUUAAAGCACUCUGAACGCAUGGGACCAUAUUGCAGGUGUUUGUGCCUGUGGCAAGGUCUUGGUCUUUUGUUCCCUCCUGCUCCCUCCUCUCCAGCACAAGACGACCGGCAUGCACACAAGACAAGACCUCGGACAGCGCCUCCCACCACUCCUCCAUGUUCUCCUCCAUCUGCCUCCUGUCCAUUGAUCAGCCUUCCAGGGCAUCAGUCUGUUUAACAUCUGCUACAAGUUCCAGCGGCUCAGAUGCGCAGAGGCUGUAAUGAAGAGCUCUUGAACUCGCAGUCAGAGACGCUGUGACAGGAGUUCAGGAGGAUGCCUCUUUGGCUUUGCUGGACAGCCAUGGAGAAAACCCAGUUCGAUCCACGAGAUACGAUGAGCCUGAACUGUGUCCUCUGGCUCCUCUGCUCCUCACUGCAGACACAUCAAGUAAAAUGGCUUUGACUUCCUCCUCAUGUUUGCAUUUCUUCUUCUUCUUUUUUAUUUCACAGUCAAAACCACAAGAUUUUACACUUUAAAAUCACCACAACUCCAGGGGGAGGGGGGGGGGGGGGAGAACUGAUAGCAGUGUGUGAAUUAUCUAAAUGUGCAACAUUGUAUGAUAACAUGGUACAAAACAGAUGAUCUGCAAAAAUACAUACAUACUGUGAGUAGCAGUUACAUUUAAAUUCACUCUCUCAUUGUGUUAGUUUAUAAAUAUCCACACCACAACAAAAUUACCUGAACAAUAGCAUGUGUUCUUAUGUGAAGUUUGUCUUGUUUUAUUAUGGCAGCUUUUCCUCCGCCACUCGGAGUGCAGGCUGUGCUGGUGCCUCCCUCUCUGGAAAUGAGACUGCAGGCUCUAUCAUUAGAUCGGAUGGCAAGUCUUUAUGCAAAGUGUUUUGCAUAAUUACAUACCAAAGCCAGAAUAGCCACCCUCAAAUUUUAUGGGUCACAAAGCAUCAACAAUUGCUGCAUUAUUGUCCACCAAAGUCCAGCCCCACCAAUGACAAGGAACGAAAAAGAGAAGAAGAAGAGAGGGAAAGAACUCGUCUGCUUAAUCUAAGCUUGGGAGAUUGAAUUUUCAUUCUAAUAAAAAGUAAAGAAGAUUAUUUCCAACUUGUUUACAUAUAGUUGUAAAGUUCAGAGGACUUGCCAAGGCUUCAGGGAGCUUGAUCACGAGGUCCACAACAUGUGAGCAUGAUGAAGUGGCUCCAGUAAAGUCCUUCAUAUUUCUAACCUUCUGCACGGAAGUUCUAUUUAGAAAAAGGAAACUUUAAAAAGGAAAUGUAUAAGUUGUUGGCAUGAUUUUGUUAAUUUUAUUUAAGUAUUUAUUAUGCAAAUACACAAUAUUAGCACUGAAACGAGUGCAGGGAGUGUGUGUGUAUAUGUAAUACAGUAGUUAUAGUAAUUGUAUCUAAUAUUGUUAAUUAUUAUUAAAUCUGUUUUACUAAAUAUAUCGAGCCUGCGGGAGAUUUAUUUUAGCAUCCUUCAGUUCAUUAUCACCGUUGGUAAUUAAACCAGUUUAGCUGAGUGUGAAACUUUAAUUUACAAUACAUUUUUGCUGUAGUAAAGUAUAAUUAGAGGACAUUUAAAAAAUAUCCGAUGACAUUACUUGCAUUACCCCUUUUGAAAAGUACAGAAGAGUAAAGCAUAGCGAUUAAAAAGCGAAUUAAAAACGAAAGCUAUUUCAGAAUUACCUUGUUUUAUUUUUUAGUAAUGUAGAACACAAAAUAUUAUUGUAGCACAGGGAAUAAUAUCAGUAUUAGGAAUUAAUAAUAACAUCGUACUGGUUUUACAUUUUGUUUUAUGAGCGAAUAUCCGCCGUUAACAAGCCGUUGUCAUUACCAGCUCCAGCAGAGAACAGGGUCACAGAUUAAAACAGAAACAAGGAUUCCUUACAAAGAAAUAAAUGAAUUAAAAGAGUUUAAAAGGCUAGUAACAAUAGAACGUGGUUUUAGUUUUACAACGUGAAAAAUGCUGUGAUAAUACGGUAACUCAGAUAGUGGGCGAAUAAGGUUCAGAUAUUUCGAUGGUUUGUGAGAAAUACUCUUUUUAUUGAACAUAAAAAGUAUUUGAUGGUCUUGAAAACAGAUCUAUUUGACGUCUAAAAUAAUAUUCGAUAAAUGAGACACAGCCUCAUAUGACAGAUCAGACUUAUCACUGAAUAUUUGUCAAGAGCAUGAGGAUUUAAAAAGAAAAUCGAAAUAUCACCGAUGAUGACGGCUCUGGAGACUGCAGUUAUGAGGUAUUUUAAACUUAAUGUGCGACAUAUAAACGAACUGAACUUUAUCUUCACUGUCCCCUUUGUCUUUUGUGUUUUAUCUUGUAUUUUAUUUCCCCUUAAACAACCUUUAUUUUUAAUUGAUCAUUAAAUAAGUGAUAUAAUUAGUCAUAUUCUUCCAACAUGUCUUUGUACAAUGUCAAUAACAAUUGUCAAUAAAAUAUGUGAAACCAACAG